rfam:Reticulomyxa filosa solexa3762703_1.f1.exp, whole genome shotgun sequence.
AAUCAAGCGCGAGAAGGGCGUUUGGUGGAUGCCUAGGCAGUAAGAGGCGAUGAAGGACGUGAUACCCUGCGUUAAGCCAUGGGGAGCCGGGAAUAGGCUUUGAUCCAUGGAUGUCCGAAUGGGGGAACCCACCUGAUAUUCUGCUGUUGUUACCCUUCGGGGUGAUCAACAGUAGGGUAAAUCAGGUACUUUUACCCUGAAUACAUAGGGGUUUAAGAGCGAACCCGGGGAACUGAAACAUCUAAGUACCCGGAGGAAAGGAAAUCAAGAGAGACUCCGCUAGUAGUGGCGAGCGAACGCGGACCAGCCGAGCCUGGAGAGUGAGUGGAAUGGUCUGGAAAGGCCAGCGAGAUGGGUGACAGCCCCGUACACGAAGCUCAAAAGGACGUAUCAAGUAGGGCGGGACACGUGAAAUCCUGUCUGAAGAUCGGGGGACCACCCCCGAAGGCUAAGUACUCCUUACUGACCGAUAGCGAACCAGUACCGUGAGGGAAAGGUGAAAAGCACCCCGACGAGGGGAGUGAAACAGUACCUGAAACCGGACGCCUACAAGCAGUCGGAGGGGCCUUGAGCCCUGACGGCGUACCUUUUGUAUAAUGGGUCAACGACUUGGUCUGUCGAGCAAGCUUAAGCCGUUAGGUGUAGGCGCAGCGAAAGCGAGUCUUAAAAGGGCGCAUGAGUUCGACGGAUCAGACCCGAAACCAGGUGAUCUAGCCAUGUGCAGGAUGAAGGUUGGGUAACACCAACUGGAGGUCCGAACCAACACCCGUUGAAAAGGGUCUGGAUGACGUGUGGCUAGGGGUGAAAGGCCAAUCAAACCUGGAGAUAGCUGGUUCUCCGCGAAAGCUAUUUAGGUAGCGCCUCGGACGAAUACCUGCGGGGGUAGAGCACUGCAUGGGUGAUGGGGGCCCACAGCCUUACUGAGCCUAAGCAAACUCCGAAUACCGCAGAGUACUAUCCGGGAGACACACGGCGGGUGCUAACGUCCGUCGUGAAGAGGGAAACAACCCUGACCUGCAGCUAAGGCCCCUAAUUCGUGGCUAAGUGGGAAAGCAUGUGGGACGGCCAAAACAACCAGGAGGUUGGCUUAGAAGCAGCCAUCCUUUAAAGAUAGCGUAACAGCUCACUGGUCUAGAUAAGCUGUCCUGCGGCGAAGAUGUAACGGGGCUCAAGCCACGAGCCGAAGCUCAGGAUGCACAGCGAUGUGCGUGGUAGCGGAGCGUUCUGUGAUAUAGCUCAAUGCCUCUUGUCUUCCUCUCGGGGAAGCAUGGAGGCACGGAGCUUUCUGUGAAGCCGGGCUGUAAGGCAUCCGGUGGAGAGAUCAGAAGCGAGAAUGUUGACAUGAGUAGCGACAAACAGGGUGAGAGACCCUGUCGCCGAAAGUCCAAGGGUUCCUGCUUAAAGCUAAUCUGAGCAGGGUAAGCCGGCCCCUAAGGCGAGGCCGAAAGGCGUAGUCGAUGGGAACCAGGUUAAUAUUCCUGGGCCAGGAGGAUGUGACGGAUCAGAGAGGUUGUCUGCCCUUAUCGGAUUGGGUGGGCAGCUGACUGGUCCCUGGAAAUAGCCCUCCAUCAGACCGUACCCUAAACCGACACAGGUGGACUGGUAGAGUAUACC